CCUACGGGGGGCUGCAGUGAGGAAUAUUGGUCAAUGGACGAAAGUCUGAACCAGCCAUGCCGCGUGCAGGAAGACGGCUCUAUGAGUUGUAAACUGCUUUUGUACAAGGGUAAACCUGAAUACGUGUAUUCAGCUGAAAGUACUGUACGAAUAAGGAUCGGCUAACUCCGUGCCAGCAGCCGCGGUAAUACGGAGGAUCCAAGCGUUAUCCGGAUUUAUUGGGUUUAAAGGGAGCGUAGGCGGGCGUUCAAGUCAGCUGUAAAAUCGCGCGGCUCAACCGCGCCCCGCAGUUGAAACUGGACGCCUUGAGUUCACAACAGGCAGGCGGAAUUCGUGGUGUAGCGAUGAAAUGCAUAGAUAUCACGAGGAACCCCGAUUGCGAAGGCAGCCUGCCGGGGUGCGACUGACGCUGAGGCUCGAAGGUGCGGAUAUCAAACAGGAUUAGAUACCCUGGUAGUC
rnacentral:rRNA from 1 species